rnacentral:rRNA from 1 species
GAUGAACGCUGGCGGCGUGCCUAAUACAUGCAAGUCGAGCGAACGGACGAGAAGCUUGCUUCUCUGAUGUUAGCGGCGGACGGGUGAGUAACACGUGGAUAACCUACCUAUAAGACUGGGAUAACUUCGGGAAACCGGAGCUAAUACCGGAUAAUAUUUUGAACCGCAUGGUUCAAAAGUGAAAGACGGUCUUGCUGUCACUUAUAGAUGGAUCCGCGCUGCAUUAGCUAGUUGGUAAGGUAACGGCUUACCACGGCAACGAUGCAUAGCCGACCUGAGAGGGUGAUCGGCCACACUGGAACUGGGACACGGUCCAGACUCCUGCGAGAGGCAGCAGUAGGGAAUCUGCCGCAAUGGGCGAAAGCCUGACGGAGCAACGCCGCGUGAGUUAUAGAGGUCUUCGGAUCGUAAAACUCUGUUAUUAGGGAAGAACAUAUGUGUAAGUAACUGUGCACAUCGUGACGGUACCUAAUCAGAAAGCCACGGCUAACUACGUG